CCCUGCCAAAGUCUCAGAGCCAAGGUCAUGCCGCCCUGCCACCUGGCCAUCCCUGCUGUGUCCACAGAGUGCACAACAGGGCCAUAGGGCACGGCCUUCCCCACUUGGCCCAGGGACCCACCUCAGGACGAGGGGAGGCCAUGAGGGGCCCGGGGUCCCAGAGAGUUGGAAGUUGCAAGCUCCUCGUGGCUCAGCCUGCAGGCUGGGGAGCCUAGGGAGCAGCUCCUGCAGGUCCUGAAGGCUCAGCUCCUUGGAAGCACACAGUGAACGUGGACGCGAACCUGAUGUCCUUUAGGAAACACCCCACCCCCAUCCCCACCUCAUCGCCCAAGAUGCUGUCACUUCAGUAGC
rnacentral:lncRNA from 1 species